GAAAUGCGAUAAGUAAUGUGAAUUGCAGAAUUCAGUGAAUCAUCGAAUCUUUGAACGCACAUUGCGCCCCUUGGUAUUCCGGGGGGCAUGCCUGUUCGAGCGUCAUUUCAACCCUCAAGCGCAGCUUGGUGUUGGGCCCUGCCAGCGAUGGCAGGCCCUAAAAUUAGUGGCGGUGCCGCUGAGCCCUGAGCGUAGUAAUCUUCUCGCUACAGGGUCUCUGCGUGCCUUCGCCAGAACCCCCAAUUUUCUAAGUUUGACCUCGGAUCAGGUAGGGAUACCCGCUGAACUUAA
rnacentral:misc_RNA from 1 species